UACGUUGAUUACAAGGGAAGCAUUAAUAGUUUGGUAAAAUGAAGCUUGCCGCUUAUGGUAAAUAAACUUUCGGAAUGAUGGUGGUUGUGAAAAGAGAGUUAACUUGAAGAUAAUUGCAUAUGAGCUAAGAAGGUGAAAUCAUAAAAAAUUUAGAAGUAUUCUUAGAUGCUGUGCCUUGUUGGAAUUAUGAGGACUCCAUUCUAUAGGUUGACAACUGUUAGCACGUAUGUUGAGCUAUUCUAAACAUAUUAGUUCCUUCUGAAAUAAAAUUGCAUGUGCUGCUUAAAAAGUAUUUUGUACCUCUAGACUAAAUAAAAUUGACAGAACCUUAUGGGAGAGAAACUGUAUAAAAUUUCUGAGUGGCUUCAACAUUAGAAUAUAUUUCUUUAUCUAUUAGAUAUAUUAUACUUUUUAGUCAUGUCAGAGAUGCCAGAAGCGUAGGGUGAUUUGAUAAUUUAUGUGAAAGGACACAACACAAAAAUAUGCAUCUUUUGGUGAUCAACAUGAAAGUGGAGAGAGACUCGGCCCUUUCCUCUAAAUCUUGAAAGCAUAGAGAGAGAGGCUUGUUCUCCGACAAGGAUUUGAGCUCUCUGGUAUGACAAAGUAGAAAAAGGAUCCACAAGUUGUAACUGGUUCUCAUGAUACAACGAUAAAGUUCUGGGAUCUUAGAUUUGGUAAAACGAUGACAACCCUUACACACCAUAAGAAAUCUGUGCGAGCAAUGGCUUUACACCCCAAAGAGAAUUGUUUUGCAUCUGCAUCAGCUGA